GUAAGGGGGGGGGGGCAGCUUUAAUGGAAGGGGGGGGGACGACAAAUAGGAACCCCUUCUUAAUUGGGGAGGGGGCAACAGGACCCCCCCACCUCCCUGUGAAUAGGGGAGGAUCCCCCACGUAUGGGGUGGGGGCACUGGGACCCCCCCUCUUCCCCCCCAUAAUAAAGGAGACCCUCAAUUUGGGGUCCCCCUGGAUUCUAUGGGGCACUGUUUUGGAGUUCCCCCAAUUCCUUUGGAGCUCUAUUGUGGGGGACCCCAAAUCCUAUGGAAUGUCAUUGUGGGGUCCCCCCCAAAUCCUACGGGGCAUUGUGGUGGGGGUCCCCCCAGAUCCUAUGGGGCUGUAUGGUGGGGUCCCCCAAAAAUCCUAUAGUGGGGGUCCCCCUAAAUUCUUAGGAACUCUUAUGGUGGAGACCCCUGUCCCAAAUCCUUUGCUGGGGGUCCCUCUAAAUCCUAUGGGGCCCUAUGGCAGGGACCCCCCUAAAUCCUUUGCUGGGGGUUCCCCAAAACCCUAUGGGGCUCUAUGGUGGGGACUUUAUGGUUUGGGAAUUGUGGGGUGAGCGGGGAAGGAUUGUGGGUUCAGCCCCAUGGAGCUUCGGGGGAGAAAUGGUCCUAUGGGGUCAUACUGGGACCCACAUGGUGACCUCGAUUGCCUUUGUGUGUCCUAUGGGGUCAUUCCUGAAUCCCAAAGAUGCAGCCAAGGCCCUCUAUGUUUUAUGGGGUCAUUCCUGAACCCCAAAGAUGCAGCCAAGGCCCUUUGUGUCCUUAUGGGGUCAUAUGGGAACCCAAGUGGUGACCCCAAUUGCCUUUGUGUCUUAUGGGGUCGUAUGGGAACCCAACUGGUGACGCGGAUUGCCUUUGUGUCCUAUGGGGUCAUUCGUGAACCCCAAAGAUGCAGCCAAGGCCCUCUAUGUUUUAUGGGGUCAUUCCUGAACCCCAAAGACGCAGCCAAGGCCCUCUAUGUUUUAUGGGGUCAUUCCUGAACCCCAAAGAUGCAGUGAAGGCCCUCUAUGUUUUAUGGGGCCAUUCCUGAACCCCAGAGACGCAGCCAAGGCCCUCUAUGUUUUAUGGGGCCAUUCCUGAUCCCCAAAGAUGCAGCCAAGGCCCUCUAUGUUUUAUGGGGUCAUUCCUGAUCCCCAAAGAUGCAGCCAAGGCCCUCUAUGUUUUAUGGGGUCAUUCGUGAACCCCAAAGACGCAGCCAAGGCCCUCUAUGUUUUAUGGGGUCAUUCCUGAACCCCAAAGACGCAGCCAAGGCCCUCUAUGUUUUAUGGGGCCAUUCCUGAACCCCAAAGACGCAGCCAAGGCCCUCUAUGUUUUAUGGGGCCAUUCCUGAUCCCCAAAGAUGCAGCCAAGGCCCUCUAUGUUUUAUGGGGUCAUUCCUGAUCCCCAAAGAUGCAGCCAAGGCCCUCUAUGUUUUAUGGGGUCAUUCCUGAACCCCAAAGACGCAGCCAAGGCCCUCUAUGUUUUAUGGGACCAUUGGGGAGAAGGGAAAAGUGGGAAAGCAAAGGGGGAAAAUGGGCUGUUGGAAAAGGGUGGAGGAGACGGAGAGGUUGGAGACGAAGUUGGGCCGAAAGGGCGGCGUUGGUGAGGAGAAAUAAUGGGG
ensembl:lncRNA